UACGUAGGGGGGCAAGCGUUGUCCGGAUUUAUUGGGCGUAAAGAGCGUGUAGGCGGUUUGGUAGGUCCGUUGUGAAAACUCGAGGCUCAACCUCGAGACGGCCCGGCGGAAACCCAUCAGGCUAGAGUCCGGAAGAGGAGAGUGGGAAUUCCUGGUGUAGCGGGUGAAAUGCGCAGAUAUCAGGAAGAACGACCCGUGGCUAAGGCGGCUCUCUAGUACGGUACUGACGCUGAGACGCGAAAGCGUGGGGAGCGAACAGG
rnacentral:rRNA from 1 species